UAGUUGGUGGGGUAAAGGCCUACCAAGGCGACGAUCUGUAGCGGGUCUGAGAGGAUGAUCCGCCACACUGGGACUGAGACACGGCCCAGACUCCUACGGGAGGCAGCAGUGGGGAAUAUUGGACAAUGGGCGGAAGCCUGAUCCAGCCAUGCCGCGUGUGUGAAGAAGGCCUUUUGGUCGUAAAGCACUUUAAGCGAGGAGGAGGCUCCUUUAGUUAAUACCUAAAGUGAGUGGACGUUACUCGCAGAAUAAGCACCGGCUAACUCUGUGCCGGCAGCCGCGGUAAUACAGAGGGUGCGAGCGUUAAUCGGAUUUACUGGGCGUAAAGCGUGCGUAGGCGGCUUUUUAAGUCGGAUGUGAAAUCCCUGAGCUUAACUUAGGAAUUGCAUUCGAUACUGGAAAGCUAGAGUAUGGGAGAGGAUGGUAGAAUUCCAGGUGUAGCGGUGAAAUGCGUAGAGAUCUGGAGGAAUACCGAUGGCGAAGGCAGCCAUCUGGCCUAAUACUGACGCUGAGGUACGAAAGCAUGGGGAGCAAACAGGAUUAGAUACCCUGGUAGUCCAUGCCGUAAACGAUGUCUACUAGCCGUUGGGGCCUUUGAGGCUUUAGUGGCGCAGCUAACGCGAUAAGUAGACCGCCUGGGGAGUA
rnacentral:rRNA from 1 species